rnacentral:rRNA from 1 species
AAACGCGGAUCAAACCGCGAACUUCUAAACCUUUGACGAUUGACUCAUGUUGCCUCGGCGGGUGCUCCCGCCAGAGGAUACAUCAAAACUCCUGUUUUAACGGUGUUGUCUGAGCUACAAGCAACGAAUCAAAACUUUCAACAACGGAUCUCUUGGUUCUGGCAUCGAUGAAGAACGCAGCGAAAUGCGAUAAGUAGUGUGAAUUGCAGAAUUCAGUGAAUCAUCGAAUCUUUGAACGCACAUUGCGCCCCUUGGUAUCCCGAGGGGCAUGACUGUUCGAGCGUCAUUUCACCACUCAAGCCUGGCUUGGUGUUAGGCGACGUCCCCUUUGGGGACGCGCCUCGAAACGCUCGGCGGCGUGGCACCGGCUUUAAGCGUAGCAGAAUCUUUCGCUUUGAAAGUCGGGGCCCCGUCUGCCGGAAGACCUACUCGCAAGGUUGACCUCGGAUCAGGCAGGGAUACCCGCUGAACUUAAGCAUAUCA